rnacentral:rRNA from 2 species
UUAAAUUGAAGAGUUUGAUCAUGGCUCAGAUUGAACGCUGGCGGCAGGCCUAACACAUGCAAGUCGAACGGUAACAGGAAGCAGCUUGCUGCUUUGCUGACGAGUGGCGGACGGGUGAGUAAUGUCUGGGAAACUGCCUGAUGGAGGGGGAUAACUACUGGAAACGGUGGCUAAUACCGCAUAACGUCGCAAGACCAAAGAGGGGGACCUUCGGGCCUCUUGCCAUCAGAUGUGCCCAGAUGGGAUUAGCUUGUUGGUGAGGUAACGGCUCACCAAGGCGACGAUCCCUAGCUGGUCUGAGAGGAUGACCAGCCACACUGGAACUGAGACACGGUCCAGACUCCUACGGGAGGCAGCAGUGGGGAAUAUUGCACAAUGGGCGCAAGCCUGAUGCAGCCAUGCCGCGUGUAUGAAGAAGGCCUUCGGGUUGUAAAGUACUUUCAGCGGGGAGGAAGGUGUUGUGGUUAAUAACCGCAGCAAUUGACGUUACCCGCAGAAGAAGCACCGGCUAACUCCGUGCCAGCAGCCGCGGUAAUACGGAGGGUGCAAGCGUUAAUCGGAAUUACUGGGCGUAAAGCGCACGCAGGCGGUCUGUCAAGUCGGAUGUGAAAUCCCCGGGCUCAACCUGGGAACUGCAUUCGAAACUGGCAGGCUUGAGUCUUGUAGAGGGGGGUAGAAUUCCAGGUGUAGCGGUGAAAUGCGUAGAGAUCUGGAGGAAUACCGGUGGCGAAGGCGGCCCCCUGGACAAAGACUGACGCUCAGGUGCGAAAGCGUGGGGAGCAAACAGGAUUAGAUACCCUGGUAGUCCACGCCGUAAACGAUGUCUACUUGGAGGUUGUGCCCUUGAGGCGUGGCUUCCGGAGCUAACGCGUUAAGUAGACCGCCUGGGGAGUACGGCCGCAAGGUUAAAACUCAAAUGAAUUGACGGGGGCCCGCACAAGCGGUGGAGCAUGUGGUUUAAUUCGAUGCAACGCGAAGAACCUUACCUGGUCUUGACAUCCACGGAAGUUUUCAGAGAUGAGAAUGUGCCUUCGGGAACCGUGAGACAGGUGCUGCAUGGCUGUCGUCAGCUCGUGUUGUGAAAUGUUGGGUUAAGUCCCGCAACGAGCGCAACCCUUAUCCUUUGUUGCCAGCGGUCCGGCCGGGAACUCAAAGGAGACUGCCAGUGAUAAACUGGAGGAAGGUGGGGAUGACGUCAAGUCAUCAUGGCCCUUACGACCAGGGCUACACACGUGCUACAAUGGCGCAUACAAAGAGAAGCGACCUCGCGAGAGCAAGCGGACCUCAUAAAGUGCGUCGUAGUCCGGAUUGGAGUCUGCAACUCGACUCCAUGAAGUCGGAAUCGCUAGUAAUCGUGGAUCAGAAUGCCACGGUGAAUACGUUCCCGGGCCUUGUACACACCGCCCGUCACACCAUGGGAGUGGGUUGCAAAAGAAGUAGGUAGCUUAACCUUCGGGAGGGCGCUUACCACUUUGUGAUUCAUGACUGGGGUGAAGUCGUAACAAGGUAACCGUAGGGGAACCUGCGGUUGGAUCACCUCCUUACCUGAAAGAAGC